rnacentral:ribozyme from 1 species
CGCAGAGUGACGGGGCUUCGGCCCCGGUAAUGCGGGAGGCUUCGGCCUGCGGUCACAACCCCGC